CAAUCAGGUGGGAUUACCCGCUGAACUUAAGCAUAUCAAUAAGCGGAGGAAAAGAAACUAACAAGGAUUCCCCUAGUAACGGCGAGUGAAGAGGGAAAAGCCCAAAUUUGUAAUCUGGCUCUUUUAGAGUCCGAGUUGUAAUUUUGAGAACUGUUUUCAGUGCUGGACCAUGUUUAAGUCUGUUGAAAAACAGCAUCAUUGAGGGUGAUAAUCCCGUUCAUGAUAUGGACUACCAGUACUUUAUGAUACAGUCUCUAAGAGUCGAGUUGUUUGGGAAUGCAGCUCAAAGUGGGUGGUAAAUUCCAUCUAAGGCUAAAUAUAGGUGAGAGACCGAUAGCAAACAAGUACCGUGAGGGAAAGAUGAAAAGAACUUUGGAAAGAGAGUUAACAGUACGUGAAAUUGCUGAAAGGGAAACAAUUGAAGUUAGCCUUGUUAUUGUCAGUUCAGCUCUUUUAGAGUGUAUUCUGAUGAUUAACGACCAACAUCAGUCUUUGAGUGCUGGAUAAGGGUUUUGGAAAUGUAGCAGUCUCGGCUGUGUUAUAGUCCAUUACUUUGAUACAGUGCUUGGGAUUGAGGAUCGCAGUAAGCCAUUUUAUGGUGGACCAAAUUUUUGGUCUUCUUACUGAGGAUGUUGGUGAAAUAGCUUAAAAUGACC
rnacentral:rRNA from 1 species